rnacentral:rRNA from 1 species
AACGAACGCUGGCGGCAUGCCUAACACAUGCAAGUCGAACGGGACCUUCGGGUCUACUUGCUCACGGGUGCGUCACGCGUGGGACCCUGCCCUUAGGCUCCGAAUAACUCUCCUUCGGGGGUGCUAAUACCGGAUAACUUCCUCUGACCAAAGAUUUAACGACCUUGGAUGGGCCCGCGUUGGAUUAGCUAGUCGGUAUGGGAAAAGCCUAUCAAGGCUACGCUCGAUAGCUGGUCUGAGAGAAUGAGCAGAGACACUGGGACUGAGACCCGGCCGAGACUCCUGCGGGAGGCAGGAGUGGCGAAUAUUGGACAAUGGGCGAAAUGCUGAUGCAGCAAUGGCUGGUGAGUGAUGAAGGCGUGAGGGUAGUAAAGCACUUUUACCCGGGAUGAUAAUGACGGUACCGGAAGAAUAAGCACCGGCUAACUCCGUG